rnacentral:tRNA from 1 species
GGGGAUUUAGCUCAGCGAUGUAAGUACCUGUCUUGCAAGCAGGCAGUCAUGAGUUCAAUCCCCA